UAAAAGUCGGAGGAAGUGGGGAUGACGUCAAAUCAUCAUGCCCUUAUGACCUGGGCUACACACGUGCUACAAUGGGCGGUACAAAGGGUCGCGAACCCGCAGGGGAGCCAAUCCCAAAAAGCCGCUACUCAGUUCGGAUUGCAGGCUGCAACUCGCCUGCAUGAAGCCGGAAUCGCUAGUAAUCGCGGAUCAGCAUGCCGCGGUGAAUACGUUCCCGGGCCUU
rnacentral:rRNA from 1 species